UAACAAAAUAUAAAAAUGGAAGACAAAUGACAGGAUAAAAAUACAGCUAAGAAAUUUAAGAAAAACUGAUUUUGUCCUUCUAACUUGUUGUUUACUGGUCUUUUUUUUCCACUUAUAUGCACAAUU